rnacentral:misc_RNA from 1 species
GAUAAACCAAAACCAAUCGCAAAUAUCUUUCCUCUGUAUUCACUCCACUGGAACACAAUACACAACACUCGCAGAGGCCAGCUUAGAAUACUUAGAUGGGCACACUCUCAACCAUUACGUGCUUCUGCACCAGAACCUCGUUUCCGAGAUCAGCUCCACUACCAUUUUUUAAGAGAAACCCACCAACUGUCUCAUUGUUUAGAGCUACCUCUCAGCCAGUAAGAGAAAUUGCAGAAGAGGAUGUUUUGAAAAUCUUCCUUAAGGAAAGGGAAAUAAAUGGAGACUUUGUAUCCAAAGCUUCUGAUAUGUUUUGGCUGAAGGGGGUAGAGAAAUUUGUUGAUUUUGAUACUGGUAAACUUGCUGACAAUCCUCGAGAAGCAGAGCAGGUUAUGGAAAGUGAUGAUGACGGAGGGUUUUUGAAACUUUCCAAAACCCAGGAAUGGAUAUUAGGUGAUGACUCUGCUCCAACGAAUAAGAAAGCCAUUGCUAAGGUCUGCUUAUAUCAUUACAGUUUGUAGCUGAAAUAAAUUCUGCCAGAUAUUGCUUAACUAUGCAUAUUGUAAUACAGGCAAUACAGAAUGAUAGUGAAAGAAGGAAGAAACUGAAUCUGCUCAGAUAUGAAGCUGUAUGAUAUUUCCGUUGAACUUGGUGUUUAGUUGUCGAUGUUGAGUCUUUUCUUCACAAUCUAUUAUGGGAGUAUAUUUGUUAUAACAUUCUUUACAUUUCUAAUAGAUAGUGCCAGUUGCUUGUAUUUUCAUUUUAGUUAUUUAUGUUUCUCUUUUUAUUUGGUGUAUGUUAAUUUUUCUAAAACCUUUCACAGCAUUGGGUGUAUUAGAUGUUUGGCUAGAUGGAAAAGACCAGAGUGGCUUUUCAGCUGAAAAAUAUUGUGCCUUAAGCAUAUGGUUGCAUGUUGAUGCCUACUAUAUGCUUUAGAGUUUGGAAUAAGAGGGACUAAUACAUGGAUUGUAAUUUUAAUUGGAAUUCUGAUAUGACAUUUUCGGUGAACAUCUCGUGAAAGUGAGUGCUUUCUAAUUUUUCUUGAUAGGUAAUUUUUCAUUAUAGAGAUUUGAACCCAAGAACCCAAAACACCACCAUGAUGCAAUGGUCUACCUCCUUUUUAUGGUAUUUAAUUCAUUGUUUUCUGGAAGUGGGAGAGACAAUGGCAAUUGCACAUAGAACUAUCAUAGGUGCUGAAGUUGACAAUUGCUUUUGGUAGAUGGUAGUGUUAUAUAAUUUGUGGUGCUCUGUAUUAUGUAAUAGCGGUGAUGCAGGAUUCAGGAAAUGCUAUUUUAUAGAAUGUAUAACUAAAACAAGGAUGUUAAGGUUAGGGUUAUAUAAUUUGUGGUGCUCUGUAUUAUGUAAUAGCGGUGAUGCAGGAUUCAGGAAAUGCUAUUUUAUAGAAUGUAUAACUAAAACAAGGAUGUUAAGGUUAGGGUUAUAUACGGUUCUUGGUUCCCCCAAAACUUUUAUUUGAUUUUUAUUUUUAAUUUUUUGAAGCUAUGAAUUACUUGAAACUUUAAUUCUCAAUCACAACAGAUGCUAAAAAUAUCUGUUAUUCGUGUUCUAGAAUGUGCUGAUUCUUUGGUUUUCCUCUUGCAGCUCAAAAGGGAAUUGAUGCUUUUGUCUGUUGCUAUUGGAACAGCUUGUAGUGGGUAUUGUUUGAUUGCUUUAUCAGUCCAGGUAAAAUUUUCACAGAGAAAGGAAGCUCCAACAUUAAAGCUUUAAUAAGAUAGAUGAUCUUGCUAUGAAUGGCUAGGUUUCAAUAUUACUGGGGCUGUUGUAGAGCUUCUGUAGUUAAUCAGUUAUCCUCUGUCUGAUUGCUGAUGAUGGUGAGAUUGGAAGAUAUCUGGAAUAAUGCACAAUUGAUUAAUCUUUAUUUUGUUUUGAGAUUCUUAUGUUUGUUACAUAUUUUUUUCUAAAAAAAAAAAAAAUAAUAUUUAGGGCAGCUAAGCAGGGUAUAGUUAUUAUUAUAAGUACCAUUACAAUUUAAGUUCAUUUGAAAAGUAUCUUCUUUUGAAUGCUAAUAUAGGCAUUCAAGAAAUCUCGUUGAUAAUUUGCUUACAGAAAACUUACCCACUUAUUAAUUUUACAGGCUGCUAUCAGUUAUGUAAUUGGGGUACUUUUCAGGUUAGUUGAUACACUUCAAGACCAGUUGAUGUGUUAUUAUGUUUAGGCUACUUUUACUGAAGCAAAAAGUUCUUGAUCUAAGGUUUGCCUCCCUAAGCUUGUAAUGGGUUCCCAAAAUUAGAGCUUACUUCAGAAAGGGGAAGUUUUAUAAGCCACUUAUCAAUGUGCCAUUGUUUGAACCUUUGACCAAUGAUCUAUACUUACAAAAAUGGCAAGUUCUAUUCAUCUGUAUUUCAAAAGAAAAUAGACUCAUGCAAAAUUUUCUUGGAAGAAGUAAAACUUCGGUACACGGACAUUUAGUCAAGGGGGUUAAUGGAGAGCCACCUUUUGUGGCAUCUUGUCUAGUGACAGCCAAAUGGAGAAAAUAACCUUCUUGACUUGGAUAAGUCAAUUAUUUGCUUGGAGAAAAGUUCUCUGUGGACCAAUUGGCAUUCCAUCAAGCCCAACUUAUUGAUAGAACUGGCUCAUGUUCUUUUGUUCUCUUGUGGAAGAGGAAAAAGGAGAAAUCUUUUUACUCUUGCCCAUUCUAGUUAUUAGUUAAUUUAUUGUGUUCUGAACAAUUUUACUUUCAGUGCAGUUGCUUGUACCUUCAACUAUUGUACCAACAUGCGGACAACCUAUCCAAAGAUAUGAUUCCUCCAAUCUUCAGGCAAAAGAAGCCUAAGAAAAUUGGGAUAAGAAGUGAGGAUCUGAGGGACUCAUUAGAGAGAUCAAUUACGGGAAGUAGUAUUGCUCUUUCGUCUCCAAGGCUUGUGAUCCCAGCUGCAAUUUAUGGAUUGUGGUUCCUGUCUCAUCAGUUUUUUGGCAAUGAUGUUUUUGAUUUUCAGCUUGUCCCAGCCAUGUUUGGGAUGUUUGUGUACAAAGCUGCUGCUCUUGUUCAAUUAUAUAGGGAUAAUGAAGACCUGCAAUUUGUCUUCCCAGAAGAAGUGGAAGGUUCAAGUGACUGAGGUGUAUUGAAUGCUUAUAUCAUCAAAGGAGUGUAAACACUGCCCUUACUUUUAAAUCAUUCCGUUGAAGAAUUGGAUGCUUCUAUCACACUUACUUUGGUGUGUCUACCGCAAAUUCAUUAAAAAGAUCCCAGCAUAAAACCCAUCCAUACGCCAAGUCGCUUGAUGCAGAAGUACAUGGCCCAUAGAGAAGUUACAAGUGUUUCUGUUUGAAACUGAUAAUUCUACAAACUACCUGGCUGCUCCUACGCCAGCAUGUUAGCAUGACAAGUGAAAGUUCUUAUAUAAAUGUCUUUAAGCUCCCCAUACCUCUUGUAAUGAGGUAAUUGCCAUGAAAAGAGUUAUGAUGUUGGGAGAUAUUCAAUUUUUCUAAUUUUGGGAUUAUUUCUCAAUUUGUUUUAUAUGACUUUUUCUGAUGUAAUAAGUGCACAAAUUCAGGUCAUUUGUCAUCUAAUUAUACUGUCCUUUUUGGUCCGAACAUUAUUCUGCAUCAACUUUGGAUGCCAUUUAACAUGAUCAUAUUCUU